GUGCUCUUUCCUACAGCACAUGUAAUAGAAUUGAUAUGAUACUGAGAAGAUUAGCAUGCCCCUGUGUGAGGAUGACAUGGAAAUUUGUUAAGCAUUCCAUAGUUUA